rnacentral:rRNA from 1 species
CCUUGACAUACUAAGAACUUUCCAGAGAUGGAUUGGUGCCUUCGGGAACUUAGAUACAGGUGCUGCAUGGCUGUCGUCAGCUCGUGUCGUGAGAUGUUGGGUUAAGUCCCGNAACGAGCGCAACCCUUUUCCUUAUUUGCCAGCGGGUCAUGCCGGGAACUUUAAGGAUACUGCCAGUGACAAACUGGAGGAAGGCGGGGACGACGUCAAGUCAUCAUGGCCCUUACGGCCAGGGCUACACACGUGCUACAAUGGUCGGUACAAAGGGUUGCUACCUCGCGAGAGGAUGCUAAUCUCAAAAAGCCGAUCGUAGUCCGGAUCGCAGUCUGCAACUCGACUGCGUGAAGUCGGAAUCGCUAGUAAUCGCGGAUCAGAAUGCCGCGGUGAAUACGUUCCCGGGCCUUGUACACACCGCCCGUCACACCAUGGGAGUUUGUUGCACCAGAAGUAGGUAGUCUAACCGCAAGGAGGACGCUUACCACGGUGCGGCCGAUGACUGGGGUGAAGUCGUAACAAGGUAAGCGUAGAUGA